ACUUUAAGCGAGGAGGAGGCUACUUGGAUUAAUACUCUAGGAUAGUGGACGUACUCGCAGAAUAAGCACCGGCUAACUCUGUGCCAGCAGCCGCGGUAAUACAGAGGGUGCGAGCGUUAAUCGGAUUUACUGGGCGUAAAGCGUGCGUAGGCGGCUUUUUAAGUCGGAUGUGAAAUCCCUGAGCUUAACUUAGGAAUUGCAUUCGAUACUGGGAAGCUAGAGUAUGGGAGAGGAUGGUAGAAUUCCAGGUGUAGCGGUGAAAUGCGUAGAGAUCUGGAGGAAUACCGAUGGCGAAGGCAGCCAUCUGGCCUAAUACUGACGCUGAGGUACGAAAGCAUGGGGAGCAAACAGGAUUAGAUACCCUGGUAGUCCAUGCCGUAAACGAUGUCUACUAGCCGUUGGGGCCUUUGAGGCUUUAGUGGCGCAGCUAACGCGAUAAGUAGACCGCCUGGGGAGUACGGUCGCAAGACUAAAACUCAAAUGAAUUGACGGGGGCCCGCACAAGCGGUGGAGCAUGUGGUUUAAUUCGAUGCAACGCGAAGAACCUUACCUGGUCUUGACAUAGUAAGAACUUUCCAGAGAUGGAUUGGUGCCUUCGGGAACUUACAUACAGGUGCUGCAUGGCUGUCGUCAGCUCGUGUCGUGAGAUGUUGGGUUAAGUCCCGCAACGAGCGCAACCCUUUUCCUUAUUUGCCAGCGGGUUAAGCCGGGAACUUUAAGGAUACUGCCAGUGACAAACUGGAGGAAGGCGGGGACGACGUCAAGUCAUCAUGGCCCUUACGACCAGGGCUACACACGUGCUACAAUGGUCGGUACAAAGGGUUGCUACCUAGCGAUAGGAUGCUAAUCUCAAAAAGCCGAUCGUAGUCCGGAUUGGAGUCUGCAACUCGACUCCAUGAAGUCGGAAUCGCUAGUAAUCGCGGAUCAGAAUGCCGCGGUGAAUACGUUCCCGGGCCUUGUACACACCGCCCGUCACACCAUGGGAAUUUGUUGCACCAGAAGUAGGUAGUCUAACCGCAAGGAGGACGCUACCACGGGG
rnacentral:rRNA from 1 species